rnacentral:rRNA from 1 species
AUUGAACGCUGGCGGCAGGCCUAACACAUGCAAGUCGAACGAGUGGCGGACGGGUGAGUAAUGUCUGGGAAACUUCCUGAUGGAUUGGGAUCACUCCCUGAAACGGUAGCUAAUACCGCAUACCAUCGGAUGUGCCCAGAUGGGAUUAGCUAGUAGGUGGGGUAAAGGCUCACCUGGUCCACUAUCCCUAGCUGGGCUGAGAGGAUGACCAGGAACCCUGGAACGUAGACAAGGUCCAAGGUGCUACGGGAGGAAUCAGUGGGGAAUAUGGAAAGAUGGAGGCAAGCCUUAUGCAGCCAUGCCGAGUGUAUGAAGAAGGCCUUCGGGUUGUAAAGUACUUUCAGCGGGGAGGCGUUACCCGCAGAAGAAGCACCGGCUAACUCCGUGCCAGCAGCCGCGGUAAUAC